CAGAAUUCUGUCUGCUUUAGACACUCGGAGAGACUUCCAUUUCCCAUGGGCCUUGACUGCAGAAGAUUCAGAGUGAUUUGGCGCAGGUUCUGAAGUGCUGAUCGGAAGAGCCCAGCAUAGAUUUAGCGUUGCUAGAACCAUGUUGUCUUUCCAGGAAUGUUUUGACCGAGUCUGCGAGGAUCGCCCGUGGCAAAAUCACAGACCUGGCCAACCUCAGUGCAGCCAACCAUGAUGCUGCCAUCUUUCCAGGAGGCUUUGGAGCGGCUAAAAACCUGAGCACGUUUGCCGUGGACGGGAAAGAUUGCAAGGUGAAUAAAGAAGUGGAGCGUGUCCUGAAGGAGUUCCACCAGGCCGGGAAGCCCAUCGGCUUGUGCUGCAUUGCACCUGUCCUCGCGGCCAAGGUGCUCAGAGGCGUCGAGGUGACUGUGGGCCACGAGCAGGAGGAAGGUGGCAAGUGGCCUUAUGCCGGGACCGCAGAGGCCAUCAAGGCCCUGGGUGCCAAGCACUGCGUGAAGGAAGUGGUCGAAGCUCACGUGGACCAGAAAAACAAGGUGGUCACGACCCCAGCCUUCAUGUGCGAGACGGCACUCCACUACAUCCAUGAUGGGAUCGGAGCCAUGGUGAGGAAGGUGCUGGAACUCACUGGAAAGUGACGCGCAUGGACGGGGCCCAGCUAGGCGCCAGGACUUGGCCUCACCCUCUGGCUGAGGAGCUGU
rnacentral:lncRNA from 1 species